rnacentral:lncRNA from 1 species
AAUUCAAUACAUAUUUAUUGGGUUAUGGACCUUGGACCCUGCCUUGCAUGUUAGAGGUUGUUCCCACAGCCUGGAAGUCUCUUCCCUGACUUGUUCCACGAUCAACCUCUACUCACCCUUCAAGGCUCAGCUCAAAUGCCCCUUGCCCCAGAAACCUUCCACAAGUCCUGAAGGCAUCACUGAACCCCAUUUCCAGGAUGAGCCCACAGCACUGCAUACAAUGAGUUGAGCAGUAAUUAUUUGUAUCUGGUCCAGGUUCCCAAUGAUUAACUCCUUGAGAGUAGGAACACUAUCACGUUCAUCUUGGAAUCCUCAGUGACUGACACAGAGCUUGCUGUACAAGAAGCCCUCAAAAAAUGUGUACUGAAUGAA